GAUGAACGCUAGCGGCAGGCUUAAUACAUGCAAGUCGAGGGGCAGCAUAAGUAGCAAUACUUGAUGGCGACCGGCAAACGGGUGCGGAACACGUACGCAACCUUCCUUUAAGUGGGGAAUAGCCCGGGGAAACCCGGAUUAAUACCCCGUAAUAUUAUGAUGUGGCAUCACAUUAUAAUUAUAGAUUCAUCGCUUAAAGAUGGGCGUGCGCCUGAUUAGGUAGUUGGCGGAGUAAAGCCCACCAAGCCUGCGAUCAGUAACUGGUGUGAGAGCACGACCAGUCACACGGGCACUGAGACACGGGCCCGACUCCUACGGGAGCAGCAGUAAGGAAUAUUGGACAAUGCCCGCAAGGGUNAUCCAGCCAUGCCGCGUGCAGGAAGACGGCCCUAUGGGUUGUAAACUGCUUUUAUACAAGAGAAAACCCAUCUACGUGUAGAUGGCUGAUAGUACUGUAGGAAUAAGCGUCGACU
rnacentral:rRNA from 1 species